AGAGUUUGAUCCUGGCUCAGGACGAACGCUGGCGGCGUGCUUAAUACAUGCAAGUCGAGCGGAACUUUAGAUGAAGCUUGCGAUUCUAAAGUCGAGCGGCGGACGGGUGAGUAACGCGUGGGCAACAUGCCCUCUAGUCUGGGACAACAGUUCGAAAGGACUGCUAACACCGGAUAAUGUGGUUUUGAGACAUCUCGAGAUCAUUAAAGUUUACGCUAGAGGAUUGGCCCGCGUCCCAUUAGCUAGUUGGUGAGGUAACGGCUCACCAAGGCGACGAUGGGUAGCCGACCUGAGAGAGUGAACGGCCACAUUGGGACUGAGACACGGCCCAAACUCCUACGGGAGGCAGCAGUGGGGAAUAUUGCACAAUGGGGGAAACCCUGAUGCAGCGACGCCGCGUGAGUGAAGAAGUAUUUCGGUAUGUAAAGCUCUAUCAGUAGGGAAGAAUUUAUGACGGUACCUAACUAAGAAGCCCCGGCUAACUACGUGCCAGCAGCCGCGGUAAUACGUAGGGGGCAAGCGUUAUCCGGAUUUACUGGGUGUAAAGGGAGCGUAGGUGGCAAGGUAAGUCAGAUGUGAAAACCCAGGGCUCAACUCUGGGACUGCAUUUGAAACUAUCUGGCUAGAGUGCAGGAGAGGUAAGUGGAAUUCCUAGUGUAGCGGUGAAAUGCGUAGAUAUUAGGAGGAACACCAGUGGCGAAGGCGGCUUACUGGACUGUAACUGACACUGAGGCUCGAAAGCGUGGGGAGCAAACAGGAUUAGAUACCCUGGGUAGUCCACGCCGUAAACGAUGAAUACUAGGUGUCGGGGUCCAAACGGACCUCGGUGCCGCAGCUAACGCAUUAAGUAUUCCACCUGGGGAGUACGUUCGCAAGAAUGAAACUCAAAUGAAAUUGACG
rnacentral:rRNA from 1 species